rnacentral:lncRNA from 12 species
CAUUUAUGGCAACCUGAGGCAAAUCUUACAGCCCAGCAGCUCCUCCUCUCUAAUCUCUAGUCCCUAAAUAAGCUUCAUCCUCGUAAGGUGUGAGUGUCAGCUCCUACAGCGCUGUCAGCAGCAGUACUGGAGGGGAAAGGUGCAGGGCUGUGCACUUCAGACAGCCCUCAGCUCUGUGGGCAGCGCUGCUCCAGGGCACACCGAGGCUCCAACUCCAAAUUACAUCACAAUUGACAUCUUGUGGCUGGCCACUGCAGGUAGGAGCUGUGCUCUGAGACUGACAGACCUGCACCCUCGCACAGACAGUGAGGGGGACGGGGCAUGGACGGGGAAAGGGCAGUGUGAUGGUGCAGGAUGGCACACCCUCCCCUGAGAAAAGCGUAAGGGCUGAAGGGUCAGGAACUUGUUCUUGCUUUGGGUUUGGGAGGUGGGAGGCAAAGCCUUUGCUGCUCCCAGUGCCAGGACCCUGCUCUGGGCAGGAAGCAGCCAUAGAGUUACUCACAGCUCUCACCGAGGAUUUUUCUUCUGUUUCCUUCACAGCUGGGUUAACAGGGCCUUGGAGCUGGAGGAGUUACACUAAACAGGACCUUACAGCAGAACCAGAUGAGCACGUAAAGAAAAGAACAGGAGACGGGGCCUCGAGGAGCACAGUUCAGACACAAUCAUUCCUCUUGCACAUCCUUCGUCUGUGUUUCUGCGGGGCAGUGGAACACUUCUCACCGCAGGAAGUCUUGGGGGAAAACCAGCCACAGACUGUCCUGAGCACCUCCACAUUUACCCAACACAUUUCUUCUGCUCUUGCAGGCAGCACAGUCAAAGCUGUGCUGCAGCUUCAUGCCCUUCCGUGCCAAUGUUCAGUUUUCCUCAAUAGAUACUCAAUAUCUACAAUAAACACAAAGGUAUUUCAUCGGGAUUGCUUUCCAUAUCAUCUUGUUUUUUAAAGGCCUUUCAGCACUAUGUUUCUUAGUGCAAUGUGGAAUUUAAUACAGUAGUAAAACAAGCUAGAUUUUUUU